rnacentral:rRNA from 1 species
AUACGGAGGGUGCAAGCGUUAUCCGGAUUUAUUGGGUUUAAAGGGUGCGCAGGCGGACCUGUCAGUCAGUGGUGAAAUCCCGGGGCUCAACCCCGGAACUGCCAUUGAUACUACAGGUCUUGAAUACGGUUGAAGUAGGCGGAAUGUAGCAUGUAGCGGUGAAAUGCAUAGAUAUGCUACAGAACACCGAUCGCGAAGGCAGCUUACUAAGCCGAUAUUGACGCUCAGGCACGAAAGCGUGGGUAGCGAACAGGAUUAGAAACCCUUGUAGUCC